GGGGCAUGAAUUAGAGAAGUUGUACUUUCGUGAGGAGAUGAUGGCACACCCAGACAGAAGACAAAGAAGGCUGAAGAAGUAAGAGUGAGAAACCGAGAGGGUGAGCACCUGUCCCAGCUUUAGCACUGAAGGCGUUGCAUCUGUGGCGUCGGACCCCUGUCAGAGAGUAAAUCUCAAGUAAGGUACCUGCCAUCGGCAGAUUUGAGCUUUCUUCUUGGACACCUAAUACCCACAGUCCUCCAGGCUCCGGUAGACUGCAAAUGACCUGCUUUCUUUCUGUUCCCGGGCUGCGUUUGGACCCCUGUCGGAUAGUAAAUCCCAAGUAAGGUACCUGCCCUCGGCAGAUUUGAGCUUUCUUCUUGGACACCUAAUACCCACAGUCCCCCAGGCUCCGGUAGACUGCAAAUGACCUGCUUUCUUUCUGUUCCCGGGCUGCGUUUGGACCCCUGUCGGACAGUAAAUCCCAAGUAAGGUACCUGCCCUCGGCAGAUUUGAGCUUUCUUCUUGGACACCUAAUACCCACAGUCCUCCAGGCUGUAGAUGAAGGGGUUCAGCAUGGAGGUGAUCACCGUGUACAUCACUGAGGCCACUGCAGCCUUUCUCGGGGAAGAUGACACAUCUGAACUGAGGUACCCUCCAAAGCCUGUUCCGUAAAAUCAGCAAACAACUGACAGGAUAACUUCAGGAAGUGGGUAUUAAUUCUCACGGUAUAAGUGAAGACAUUAAGCACCAGAGUUUAAGUAGCUUGAUCCACUGAAAGAGAUUCAACUGUGUGGAACCUAUGCCGUGGAGAAUUGCUUUCUGCCAUUGUUAUCGUCCAGCAGUUGCCGAAUAGCUCUGACCUGAGCAAAGCAGUGAAACGCGGUGCUGUUGAGUGGGUUGCCACUGCACCUUUUUCAACUACUCUAGUCUUGUGGAGAAAAUACCCCUUCUAAAUUUUUUCUUCAUUGAAUACUCUCCCUCAGCUCCAGAGUACCAUAUAGAGUUUUCUUGUAUUUUAGAGUUACUGUUUUAUCAAAGUUUACCAGUCUUUUGUAUUACAUUUCUCCUGUCUAAAUCGACUGUGUGGUUUCUACUCAUUAUGGAUAUAGAUUGAUACAAACUCAAUAAAUAUUUUUGAAUGAAUAA
ensembl:lncRNA LINC01198 long intergenic non-protein coding RNA 1198